rnacentral:rRNA from 1 species
UACGUAGGGUGCGAGCGUUGUCCGGAAUUAUUGGGCGUAAAGAGCUUGUAGGCGGUCUGUCGCGUCUGCUGUGAAAAUCCGGGGCUCAACCCCGGACUUGUAGUGGGUACGGGCAGACUAGAGUGUGGUAGGGGAGACUGGAAUUCCUGGUGUAGCGGUGAAAUGCGCAGAUAUCAGGAGGAACACCGAUGGCGAAGGCAGGUCUCUGGGCCACUACUGACGCUGAGAAGCGAAAGCAUGGGGAGCGAACAGG